rnacentral:rRNA from 1 species
CAGUAGCCACGGGAAUACGAAGGGGGCUAGCGUUGUUCGGAAUUACUGGGCGUAAAGCGCACGUAGGCGGAUAUUUAAGUCAGGGGUGAAAUCCCGCAGCUCAACUGCGGAACUGCCUUUGAUACUGGGUAUCUUGAGUAUGGAAGAGGUUAGUGGAAUUGCGAGUGUAGAGGUGAAAUUCGUAGAUAUUCGCAGGAACACCAGUGGCGAAGGCGGCUAACUGGUCCAUAACUGACGCUGAGGUGCGAAAGCGUGGGGAGCAAACAGGAUUAGAUACCCCCGUAGUCCCUGUCUCUUAUAC